AUGAACGCUGGCGGCGUGCCUAAUACAUGCAAGUCGAGCGAACGGACGAGAAGCUUGCUUCUCUGAUGUUAGCGGCGGACGGGUGAGUAACACGUGGAUAACCUACCUAUAAGACUGGGAUAACUUCGGGAAACCGGAGCUAAUACCGGAUAAUAUUUUGAACCGCAUGGUUCAAAAGUGAAAGACGGUCUUGCUGUCACUUAUAGAUGGAUCCGCGCUGCAUUAGCUAGUUGGUAAGGUAACGGCUUACCAAGGCAACGAUGCAUAGCCGACCUGAGAGGGUGAUCGGUCACACUGGAACUGAGACACGGUCCAGACUCCUACGGGAGGCAGCAGUAGGGAAUCUUCCGCAAUGGGCGAAAGCCUGACGGAGCAACGCCGCGUGAGUGAUGAAGGUCUUCGGAUCGUAAAACUCUGUUAUUAGGGAAGAACAUAUGUGUAAGUAACUGUGCACAUCUUGACGGUACCUAAUCAGAAAGCCACGGCUAACUACGUG
rnacentral:rRNA from 1 species